rnacentral:rRNA from 1 species
UACGGGGGGAGCAAGCGUUGUUCGGAUUUACUGGGCGUAAAGGGCGCGUAGGCGGUCAGCACAAGUCAGUUGUGAAAUCUCCGGGCUUAACUCGGAACGGUCAACUGAUACUGUGCGACUAGAGUGCAGAAGGGGCAACUGAAUUCGUCGGUGUAGCGGUGAAAUGCGUAGAUAUCGAGAGGAACACCUGCGGCGAAGGCGGGUUGCUGGGCUGACACUGACGCUGAGGUGCGAAAGCGUGGGGAGCAAACAGG